GUGUGUCGAGAGGCCAGUAUUCACAACCACAUGUCCAUGCAGUUGCGUGGACCGGCCCAUAACGCAGAGAGUGCCGAAGUUGGAUCACGACUACAACCUGGGCUUGCGACGACGGCGGCGGCGAUCAGCGGCAUACAGAUUGCCGCGUCUCUGCAGAAACUGCGGCAGCGCGAAGUAACCGAGCGAAGCAUGAUUAAAAAUCUUGGAUCGAUACGUGUAAAAUGUGUGAAUUCAACGACGCAAAGUGAAUAAGCGUAAUGAGAAUAUUCGUGUAAUCGAUAUUGAAUUUGUAAAAUGUUUAAAUUCAACAACGCCAAGUGAAUAAGCGUAGGCCUAAUAAGAAUAUUCGUGUAAUCGAUACGUGUAAAAUCGUGAAUAUAUCGAUUAUAUCGAUUAUAUAUUUACAUUUUAUGUAAAACGUGUGAACCCCUGUCGCAGAGUUGACGGAAUCGUUGUUCGUUGUCACGUGGUUGAGUGACGCAAUAGCGCGCGCGAAUCUAUACAUAGUUGUAAUUUUAUUUAGAGAAUGAAAUACUAGAAGAGAUAGAGAUGAUUCUGCGUAUUAAAUUGCAACGAAUAUAUAUAUAUAUAUAUAUAUAUAUAUAUAUAUAUUAUCAAUGUAUUAUAUGUAUUAGGUAUACGAUCAGUAUGUGCCCAGCUUUUCCCAGAACACAGCCCACCUCGUCAUACGUUGAUUGACAGGACCUGCUUAUGACGUUUCAAAUAUCAGCCAUAUAGCAUCUAUUUAUCGUCAUUUAUUCAGCCGUCAUCAUUCGACUGAAAAAAACGCCCGUAUUGCGUGCGACUGCCCUCGUGGUGCUAAUCGGUGUGGAAUACAUGUACUAUGACUUGUAAUAAAUAUACGUACGCAGUUAUUAUGAAGCGCAGUCGGCAUGUAUCAGUGUUUAUAGUACGUGCUCGUCCGUUCGUUUAUACGUGACAGACUGCCACAAACACCUGCGUCUUAUGAGGAAUAAACUGGAGUUUGGGGGAUAUUGUUUUAUUGCAUGAAACGUCACGAGAGUUUGUGCUCUAUAUUUUGAACGUAUAACCUCGUAAAAAUUAUUAUUGUCUUCACUAUGUAUUAGUUAGACAUGUACACACGGAGAUCUUACGAGAUAUGCUUUGUCACGUUUGUAAGCAAGUUGUGGACACCGGGCAGUUGUAAGGGUUAAAGUGAAACAGUAGAAUUAUUGUAAUUAUUCGGAGCAAACCCCUCGAGAAUAUGUGCUCUCUACUUUAAUUGAAUGAUUUCAAUAAAACCGCAUAUAUUUCA